UUGUUGAUGUGCCAGCUCCUCAAGCUCUCGUUUCCUCCAGGUCCAUUUCUAGCAUACUUACUAGUUCUCUUAUGUCUUAUUUACUAUAUUAACAGCAUCACUGGCCCUCUUUAAAAGGAGUGUGAACCAAGGGUAUAACAAAAUAUUCUCUUAGAUCGUAUUAGCUUUCUUUUGGUGACCAAGGCAUUUUUUUCAAUCAAUUUCCCUCCCCCAUAUUAGCCCGAGAAACAUAAUCACUGCUGCCCUUAAAGGAGUGCUAGUCCACCUUUUAAAAUCCAUUGGAAAAAAAAGAGUCAUAUGCAUCUUUCACAUCGAAAAAUGUGAGGCCUAGGAAGUGAUAACAGUUCCUGUUUGGAUAACCCUCCUUCUGUUAGCUGUGUAGUUUAACUAACUCUGGUGCUGUGUUGCAGCGGUGAGGCUAGUCAAUGGAGGCGGUCGCUGUGCUGGAAGAGUGGAGAUUCAGUACAGGGGAGCGUGGGGCUCUGUCUGUAGUGAUUCCUGGGGAUUGGAGGAUGCGGUGUGGUGUGCAGAGAGCUGGGGUGUGGGGCUGCAGUGUCAGCCCCUCGUGGAGCUGUGUAUGGGCCGGGGAGCUGAGCGAUCUUCCUGGAUUAUGUGGACUGCACUGGGAGGGAGGCUGCACUGGUUCAAUGCCCCUCCAGAGGCUGGGGGACUCAUAACUGCAGCCACAGGAACGAUGCCUGAGUCAUCUGCUCUCUAUCAGUGGUCUCACGCUCGGUGCUGGUUCCAGUAGUAGCUGGUGGUGUGACGGCAGGGGCACUGGUUAUACUGGGUAUACUGGUGACCGUCUUCGUUGUCAGGAGGAAUAAGAACAGGAAGAACGAGAGGAAGUGAAAAACACGGGAAAGCCAGCAGAGGGCAUGCAGGAGAGGAGUUCUUACAAUUCCAGCCCUGCUUGUGAUGAGGGGAUCUAUGCAAACAUUAUGUAUUAAGAACCAGGACUACAGCAAGAAGACCUGGACUGCAUUUAUCAAAACUGCAGCUACUGAAGUCACUUCAGCUGAGGAUUUGGGGAUUUUUGCCCAUAUUUUCCUACUGUUUUUUUCCACCUGUAGCGAACACAAUGAUUAUAUAUAUUGUAUCUGUUUUUCGCUUCUAUUAGCUACACAGGUCUCCAAUGUGCAGGGAUGAAAGGAACAUGAAAGACAUGCUAUCUGUGUGAUAUAGGCAACUACCAGGUUAAAGAAACCUAUGUUUGAGAGCCAUGCUUUCAGAGACUUCCCUGAUCACCUGGAAAGUGAAACUGGUCCCUUCAGUGGCUUCUUUCCUGCCAUCAGCUACCUGAUUCCCCUAUUCUGCUACAUUCAGCCAGUAACACAAUCCACAGACACUGCAGAAGUGCAGUGUUAGGGCUGGAAACCUUUUUUAACCUGAAGUACCAUAUCAGGAUUUAAAAUGCAUGUUUGUUAUCACGUGUUCAAAACUGCACACGCGAGACCUGUGUAGCUCAGUGGAAAACAGGUCAGAUUUCUAGAAUAGCUUCACCCAUUAAGAUCAUUCUCUAUUGCUGUUACCAGCCUUUUGCAGACCUAGCCUUUAUCAAUGGCACUAGAGCCCAGAAAUGGAUUUACAGCCUUGUGUUGACAGAGGGAUCGCUUUGUUUGUUGGAAUUAUUUGUAAACGAUGUUCUCUGUUUUUCUUACAUUUUUAUAUCGCUCAAAGUUUUUUUUUUUCUUUCAGU